rnacentral:ncRNA from 2 species
AAAAUGAACUCUGGAGAGAGGCGCACAGCGUCCGCCGAAGGGAUAACGAUCUCAGGCCAAAGGACAGAGGGGGCAUC